AUGCAUUCAUCCUCUGUUGCUUCUGACCAAUUUGAUGAUGUUGCAUAUUCUCCUCUAUUGUUGCCUAACCAUGGUGCAGGCACUGGUCGUGGGGCUCGUUUGGAGAUUCUGGAAGUGCCAUCUUCCUCUUCGUCGCCAUCGCCUUCAUCCUCGGCACCUUCUGUUGUGCAUGAGGAGCACAUGGCGCCCCUGCAUGGCCUCGGUUUCCGUGCUCAUGCACGGCCGAUCGACGUCCUGGCCCGGUCGCCUCUGGCUUUUGGGCUGCCUUCGCCAUCGUUGCGCCCUGCAACCCCGCCGACUGGGCCGGCCUCCUCGGUCCCCGUCUCGCCCAGGGCGUCGGGGCAAUCAUCACCAAGCCUGGCCUCGCCCGCCCCUGCCUCACCCAGGGUGUCUGGGCCCUUCUCACCAGGGCCGGCCUCGCCUGCUCUCGCCUCGCCAAGGCCGUCUGGGCCGGUGUCACCGGAGCUGGCCUCGCCCACUCUCGGUUCGCCCAUGGCCUCUGAGCCCCUGUCGUCGGGCCAGUCUUCGCCAUGCAGCCCGGAGUCGUCUGUCCCGAGCUCGCCUGAGGUGAUUCCUGCAUCUCCGGCGACCGUCACGUCUACGUCACCUUCGCCUCCGCCGGCUCCUGCUGCUGCUCUACGUCCACAUACACGCAGUCGGAGUGGCAUUUUUCAGCCUAAGCAACGUCACGAUGGCACAGUUGCUUGGUUAGCGGCGUGCAUGUCUGCUGCUCUCGCAGAUCCAUCCUCUGAGCCACGCACGUAUCAAGCUGCUAUGCGCAUUCCUCAUUGGAGAGAGGCCAUGGAGCAGGAGUAUCAAGCGCUUCUUCGCAAUCAGACAUGGACUCUUGUUCCUCCACAAUCACGGGUAAAUGUCAUUGAUUCCAAAUGGGUUUUCAAAGUGAAGAGGCAUUCUGAUGGGUCCAUUGAACGCUAUAAGGUUCGUCUGGUUGCUCGUGGUUUUCGACAGCGUUUUGGACUUGACUAUGAAGACACCUUCAGUCCAGUGGUCAAGCCUACUACCAUCAGACUUCUUCUCUCUCUGGCUGUUACUCGAGGUUGGUUUCUUCGUCAGCUUGAUGUUCAAAAUGCUUUUCUUCAUGGUGUCUUGGCGGAGGAGGUUUACAUGCGCCAGCCUCCGGGUUUCUCUGAUCCGGAUCGCCCUGAUCAUCUCUGUCGUCUGUCCAAGGCAAUUUAUGGUCUGAAGCAGGCUCCUCGUGCUUGGCAUGCUCGUCUUGCAAUGGCUCUUCGUGCUCAUGGUUUUGCAUCAUCAACUGCUGACUCCUCAUUGUUUCUUCUUCAAAGGCCUGAGGUUACUAUGUACUUGUUGGUCUAUGUAGAUGAUAUCAUUUUGGUCAGCUCCUCUCAGUCGGCUGCUACUGCGCUUGUUCGCUCACUUGGUGCUGAUUUUGCGGUCAAGGACCUUGGGAAGCUUCAUUACUUUCUUGGUGUGGAGGUUACUUUUCGUGCUGCUGGCCUUGUUAUGACGCAGAAGAAGUACUCUCUGGAUUUGUUGCAGCGAGCUGGGAUGCUUAAGUGCAAACCGACGACUACACCCAUGUCUACCACUGAUAAGCUCAAUGUUGUUGAUGGUGUGCUUCUUUCUUCUUCUGAUGCGACAGAGUACAGGAGUAUUGUUGGUGGGCUCCAGUACUUGACGAUCACGCGACCAGACAUUUCCUAUGCUGUUAACCGAGUCUGCCAGUAUCUGCAGUCACCCCGUGACACUCAUUGGUCUGCUGUUAAGCGGAUUUUGCGCUAUAUUCGUUUCACGGUGGCUCAUGGUUUGCAUAUUCGGCCGUCUGACUCUGGUUGUCUUUCAGCAUAUUCUGAUGCAGACUGGCCUGGCAAUCCGGAUGACAGGCGAUCCACGGGGGGUUAUGCUGUCUUCUUUGGCUCUAACCUGAUUGCCUGGAGUGCUCGGAAACAGGCUACUGUCUCGCGUAGCAGUACUGAGGCUGAGUAUAAGGCUGUGGCCAGUGCCACAUCAGAGAUCAUCUGGGUACAGUCCUUGCUUCAGGAGUUAAGUAUACCCCAAUCACAGCCUCCUGUUCUUUGGUGUGAUAACAUCGGUGCUACAUACCUUUCUGCAAAUCCGGUAUUCCAUGCCCGAACGAAACACAUUGAAGUUGACUAUCAUUUUGUGCGUGAACGUGUCUCUCAGAAGCAACUACAGAUCAAGUUUAUUUCUUCCAAGGAUCAACUUGCUGACAUCUUCACCAAGCCAUUGCCUUUGCCACAGUUUGAGACUUGCAGGCGCAAUCUUACCCUUCUAGAUUCAUUAGAAAGUGGCUAA
rnacentral:rRNA from 1 species